CUUCAUAAGGCUGAUUGGGCUCAUCAAGCAGCCACAUUAUAUGGCCAGAGUCGCAUCCGGUCGCCGGCACGAGCCUGGCGAUACCGGCGAGGCUUGCGGUCUCUGAUAAACGAUGAGGUCUCGAAUGCCGAUCAAACGGCUCGUGGAACAGCUUCCCAGUGUUAUUCAGUGGUCACUGGGACUGGGUUCCAGAUUUGGAGUUCUUGGGUGAUAACUUUAACAAAAC